CCCGCAGCCAAGUUGGCUGUCACAGUUACCGUUACCGACAGCCGGUGUCGACGAAGAGCCCACAUCGUGUUCUUCACAUUUACACCACUCAUAGAAAUGAUUCGCCGUCAAUUUGCCCAAAGCUCGUACCCCAAGAUGGAAUUGGCUGUCGCACUCACAUCCAUCCCCUGACAUCAAUCUAAGUAUUUGUUAAGUUGUUGUUUGACAUAGUUUCUGAGAUUGGAUAAUGGAUUUUUAUAGCUACCACGAUUGAAUUUCCAAAGUUUUCCCUUUACGAAAGUUUGGAUUUUGGAUGUUGAUUAAUCUUUGUUUGAAUAAGUUACAUUUAUUAUGAGACUUCUUGUUGGUUUAUCAAGAUGAAUGCUACCAUCUUAGCUUUGUUGGUAACUCGGUUUUGCAUAAGUUUCUUUACUGAGAUUGAAUACAAGGGUGUAUGGUGGGAAAAUCAAGAUGGAAUCUCCUGCACCGAUUAUUUUGAAUACAUUUAUUAUGAGAAUUUUCUUGUUGUUUUAUGAAGAUAGAAUGUCCUGCACCAGUUUUGAGAUUGAAUACAAGGUUGUAUAGUAGGAAAAAAAAAAAGUAAAAUAGUUACUUUUGCACACAUAGUAAGCUAGUAAAUUCAUGUAUGCUAUGUUUAUAAACAUGUUCUCACUUGGCAAAGGAAAUGAAGCCUUGAGUUUGUGGGUAAAAAAAAAAAAAAAAAAAAAAGCCUCCUAGCAUUUGCAAGGGAAUUUCACGCAUGUACGAUGGAAGAUGAACUUUUAUUUUAUCAUAUUUUCAAUCUUAUGUAUGUAUAAUCAAUCAUUUAACUACAUCUUUAAGUCUAUCUUUUUAAUGAGUUUGUUUCAUUUACAGCAAUCGGCUAGAUUGAGAGGAAUAAAUUUUGGAGUCAAUUAUGGUUGCAAAAGUAACAUGCACUACUUCGGACAAUGCCAAUUAAAACGUCGAUUCCCUAGUUGUGACCACGGAUAUCGAAAACGUUUUGAGGUCGAACGGGAUACCGGUAACAAAGGGCGAUUGUCCUUUACCUGUAGUAAUGACUGUGGGUACUUUGAUUAGGUGAACGAUGAAGCUUUAGGCAGGAAACCGAGUUUCAUUAAUCAUGCGGUCAAUUAGGAGCGACAAGGAAGAUGAAGAAUUGCCAAGACUCUUUGAUGGCUAGCUAGAAUUAGCGAGAAAUGAGGCACCGACAUAUCAUUGCACAUGACUUUUAGCAAGGGAAAAGGAAUUGUCAACUGUGAUGAGAAAGGAAAGAGGUCAGAUUGAGGAGGUGAUUGGAGUCGUGUCUUUCGUUGAAACACUAGUACGAUGUGAAUUUCAAUUAGUAUAACAAUAUAUUGGUUUUAUGUAUGUCUAAUCUGUAUUUCACUGUGGUUUGUAAGACAAAAAUAGAUGACUAAUAUUGCCUAAUUGACCUG
rnacentral:lncRNA from 1 species